CAGUCUGGAGGACUCUAACCUUGACUUUCCAGCUUUGAGCUCCCUCUGGAAGCGCAGCAGCAAAACACUAUCAAGAAACUGCCUCCUGGCUAACAUUCUCAGCAAACCCUCAUGGCUAUUUACGGAAAUGAGCAGCCCAACAAGAAAAGUGACUGGAUAGGGUUAGGCAACCUGGGUUCAUUCUUCAAAGCAUUCCAGAGGAGUAAACAAGAGCAAGAGAGAUCAUGAUUCACAGAUGGUUUACACAGACCCCGAGACCAACUCGUCUUUGGACUGAAAAAGAGGAGCAGUCUGCAGCCUCCAGCCUUGCCCAGUUGUGUUAUCAAUAGCACUUACAAAGCCACCGCGAACACUGGCAGGAGGCUGACAAUGGAAAGUAAUAGCAGGAAAAAUGGAUUUUUCUCAACAGGUUGAAUACACUGCCAAAAUCCCUUUGCAAUCCACCUGCAGUCUGCAGACAUGGUGUUACAGAGAAGCUGAAGCUCAAUAACCAAUGGUGGACUUUAUAUACUAAAAAUAAAACAGCCCAUAAGACAAAAAACCAGUUUUUAAAUAAUAGUCAAACUUAUAGUCAUAAUAGAAAUGAUUGUUUUCUUUCUGUGAUGAACUUUCUCCAUUAAAUAUUAUUCUUUCUCUGGAAUAACUGUAAUGGAUGGUGACAGAUGCUGGUACUCAAAUUUAGGUUUUUUUUUCUCUCAGAAACUUAUCCUUAGGGCCUUCUACUUAGCAGCUCUUUUGAUGCGUUAUUAACCCACAACUCUCAUCUCAGAGACUCUUCAAUGGAGUGAGUACUUCUUGAAUAAAAACUUCUUGUACAAUCCCCAGAAUAAAAUAAUUCUUACUUCUCCUAAUUUGAUAAUUUGACCCAGUAGCUGAGAUACAAAGAGUCCUCUUUCUUUACAAACAGGAAAAACCAAAUACUAUAACUUAUAAACAUUAUAUGGUCUGGCAAAGUCAAUUUCCUGUGCAGCACAAUAUUGAAUAGUAAGUGUCUUAGUAACAGCAGGAAAAGAGAAUUUUUUGAAUGCUGUGUUUAUCACAGUCACCUACUUAUCUCUCACUAAUGCAAUACUACAUUGAAAGGAAAUUUCUGUGAAUUGGAGAAAUGACGAUUUGACCCCAUGCAGAAAGACAGUUUUCCUAUUUUAUGAACCUAUGCAAAAUUAAAAUUUUUCACCAGAUUAACUUUAAGUUCAUUACAACCAUUGUCUGAUAUUCUAUAUUGUUAAGUUAUAUUUAAUACUUGUUAUGAGAUUAAGAUACAGAGAUAUAUCUAGUUUAAGGAAAUAGCUUCAAAAUUCCUUUGUAAGAUAAUUGUAUUAAACCAAAUAUUCAGAUUAAUGGUGAUGGGAUUCAUUUAAUGUCUAAUAUGUCUAACAGCAAAGAAGAAAUCACUGACUAAGACAGUGAAGAGAGAAAUUUUGGUGUCAUCACUGCCUCUUUGCAAUCACUUCCCCAAAUGUUUAUACAUGUAAGCACUGACUAAAAAUCACUUAAAAGAUUUAAUCCGAUGCUAUUAGAGCUUUUGCUGCUUGUUUACUAUGUUUGACCUGCUUAUGUAAGUACUUUAAACUAGUGCAUUGUCUGAAACUAAUCUGCAACUGGUGAGUUUAAAGGCUAGUUUAAAACAUGGGUGUUGAUUAUAAAAUGGCCAGAAUAAUUUUAUAUUAUUUCAAAAUUUAUGUAAAAAUGAGUGUAUCAAAGUACAAAAAAGCAUCUGACUAUUUAUACUCAAAUUUAAAAAUCAUAAAUAUAUAAUAAUUAACCAGUAAUUUUGAAAUAGAUAAUUUCCCUCUAUGUUUUAAUACAUUUAAUAAUGGAGAUCUUCAGGCUAGCAUGUUCUACAGAAGACGUGUAAAUGUUUAGUGAAAAAAAAUAAAGAGAAUGCAUGCUGGUACUCCUUUGAAGGAAACUUUUAAUGUGAAGACACCAUUAACACAUUUGAUCUGUCAUGAUAGGUAGUAGAAUAUGAUUUUACAAAAAUUAAAAGAAACUUUUAUUGGAAUGGACCAGAAAUUUAACAAAAAAAGCAUUUGAUAAGGGUUAUAUUUCUGGACAUCUAGUACAGGCAAUUAUUGGUAAUAAUAAUAUUUCCUUUCAUUGAUGACUAUCAGAGAUAUUAAAAUGGUGUUUUGGUAGUCUGUUGAUCAUCUGACAUUUUCCUGGCAUACCAAAGAAGUUAAAAUAAAAUUAUUUGGGAAAACACUAUUACUUUUCUGUCCUAGAUUUAUGGUUAUAUUCAUCAUAGGAACUGAUUUCAUGUUGUGCCAUCAAGUGACUUCAUGCAUUACCCAACAGCUUUCUUCCUGCCAAUCCAAAGAUGGGCCCAGAAGCAAAAAACUGCUCACUGACCCACAUAGUUCUCUCUUGCUCUCAAAACAUUACAUCAGAGCAUUUGUGGUAGGACACCACAACCAGACAUGGAGAACUUUUUGCAGCAGAACAAGAUGCUAAUGAAAGAUCUGCAGAUUUCCACAGUGUUGUCUCCUGUUCAUGGUGCUGCAACUUGCUGUCUGCAGAUGAAAGUUACUUCCCAUUAAUAAUUGAUGCUGCAACGCACCCUAGUCUGUUUUAGUGACAGAUAGUGUUGCUUAGUUUGAGGAACCACUGCCAGAAGCUUAAUAGUCAUUGGUUUUGAUGAGCUGAAAAUGGGCUAACACUGGCCUUUGUUUUUUUCAGAAACACAUGAAAAACAACUAUUGCCAUGACCACAAAGUAGUAGCAAUCCCUUUUCACAAAUGCAGUUUGUUCAUAACCAUGUGACAUAGACCACAAAUAGCCUUCUUAUAUUUCACAUACAUGAACAAUUAACAUGAACAGUAUAUAUAAUAUUUACUUUACAAAAAAAACCUAACUAAACUGCUAUAUGAACAACCCAUCUAUUAGCAAAGGAUUAAUUUCCUAUUCCACAUUAAAUCCAGACUGUAUGCCUAGCUAACUUGCUUGCUAUGACACUGUACUGGUUGCAGGUAUAAGGUGGUAGCAAGGAACCAGAUAAGUUUUCCAGAAUCCCACUCCUUGACCUUGUCCAAGUCUCUCUGGAUGGCAUUUUGUCCUUCAGACAGAUUGUAUUUAUGUUAUAAAAAUAUGUGUGCAAACAAUGAAAUAGGAAAUAAAUACAGAGUCAAUAGACUUUAAACUAUUAUAUGGAUCUCCACAAAUAUAAUGAAGACUACUUAAUCUCAUUUGGCUCUACCUUUCAAAGGAGCUUGAGUUUCUAGUCAAAUGAAGGCCAUUCAUGUGGGGUGAGAUACCCAUAACACCUUUGCCUUCAUGUUUCCCCUAAAGCAGUUGUAAAAAAAUCCUAUUUUUUUUGUUUUCAUAGGAAUUUAGAAAAGUAUAAAACUAAAGUGGGCCUCAAAAAUGCAAAGAAACUUUGGAGAUUAUACUCUGCCACGUAACAGAAAGAGAUGAGAGCAUACAUUGACAGACCAGGAACAGUUAGGAAUGAAAGAUCAAAUAAGAUGUGAGAAAUCAAAAUACUAAGAGAUGUUUGGGAACCAGUAUCAUAUUACUAAUUUAAUUACCAGUGCAAAUGGUACAUGUGUAGACAAUAUUGUGCAAAAGAGAGGGGACAGAGAGGUUGAAUGUUGAAUUUCUUUAUUUCUUCCUUUCUCUACUUCAUUAUUCCUGAUGUCAAAAGAGUGCAAUUUCUGUCCAUACAUCUCACUGGAGUUUUAUUGAGCUGAUGGGGAUUCUACAAAUUAAUCUGUGAUAUUGUAUCAUAAUUCAGUGGACAAUGCUUUAAAAAAAAUUCCAGACCUAUCCCUGUAUUUUCUUUUUCAUAUUUUCUGGUGGUUGUGAUUAAAGAUUUUAAAUCAACACCAGUUGCCACACCAUGGCGUCUGAAAUACUAUUGUCAUUUUCUCCUAUAAGAUAGACACAUCAGGAUAAAUAUUUCAAUGUCAAAGCAAGUGUUUCUUUUUCCUCCAUGACUACUGAAUUGUCCUACAGAUGAUAAAAAUGCAGAACUUGAAGGAGUAUAACGUGAAAAGAUUAAAACUAUGCCUUUUCUGUAAAGAGGAGCUGAAUUAGAGCAAAACAGGUAAAAGUAAGAAAGGAAUAAAAAGCCCUGGACUUUCCAAAAUCUUAUGGUAAUUUAAAUAAACAGUUUAAGGAAAUAAAUUUCUUUGUAGGAAGGAAUGAAUUCUUACUUUGGACUAAACCACAUGUUUAUUAUUUUUAUUGCAUUAAUUCUCUUCUCCCUCCCCGCCCCACCCAGCAUGAAGGUAAAUUA